AAGACUUGCAGAGAUUCAGUAUCCUAGAGGUCCAAGGGAAAAGGAAGAAUGUCCAUACCUGAGACUUACUCUGUGAAAUGAGAGUGAAGAGCCUCAUUGUCUACCUGGGAAGCUACAGUUUUGGAGGAGCAGUAGGAGUGGACGCUGACUGACUGUCUGUCGGUAGGCACAAGAGGGAGGUUCAUGGGAUGGCACACAGGCUUUGAUACUUAUAAAUUUCUUGCGCACAGGAAGUGAGAUUAUUUUCAUGGAUCACCAAGGAUAUCUAUGCAGUGAAUUUUUCCUUAGGUUGAAUAACUAAAGAUGAGUUGCAUCCUGAAAAACUAGAAACAA